AUCACAAUUGGAGGAAGAAAAUUAAAAUAUUUUACCCCAAAACAUGUUUAUUUGCCAUAUUUUGAAAUAGCCCUACAAAGCUGUUCUUUGUGAGAGAAAGUUUGCAUCUGUAAAGAACCUCUAUUAACAUAACUAGAUCUUUUUCUUCCAGGCCCUCCCAAUUCUGAAGAGAUUAACUGAGAGCCUAGAACUUUUUAAAGGUCUGAAUAGAAAAUCUUUGUUAUCUAUUGU